rnacentral:rRNA from 1 species
CUAGUUGGUAAGGUAACGGCUUACCAAGGCUACGAUGUUUAGGGGAUCUGAGAGGAUGACCCCCCACACUGGUACUGAGACACGGACCAGACUCCUACGGGAGGCAGCAGUAAGGAAUAUUGGUCAAUGGGCGGAAGCCUGAACCAGCCAUGCCGCGUGCAGGAAGACGGCCCUACGGGUUGUAAACUGCUUUUGUACCGGAAUAAACCCCUUUACGUGUAGAGGGUUGAAUGUACGGUAAGAAUAAGGAUCGGCUAACUCCGUGCCAGCAGCCGCGGUAAUACGGAGGAUCCAAGCGUUAUCCGGAUUUAUUGGGUUUAAAGGGUGCGUAGGUGGCUUUUUAAGUCAGGGGUGAAAGACGGUAGCUUAACUAUCGCAGUGCCUUUGAUACUGAAGAGCUUGAAUACACUAGAGGUAGGCGGAAUGUGACAAGUAGCGGUGAAAUGCAUAGAUAUGUCACAGAACACCAAUUGCGAAGGCAGCUUACUAUGGUGUCAUUGACACUGAGGCACGAAAGCGUGGGGAUCAAACAGGAUUAGAUACCCUGGUAGUCCACGCCCUAAACGAUGAAUACUCGAUGUUGGCGAUAUACGGUCAGCGUCUAAGCGAAAGCGUUAAGUAUUCCACCUGGGGAGUACGCCCGCAAGGGUGAAACUCAAAGGAAUUGACG